UGAAAUAAAAUCAUUUAUUCCAGCUAUCUUAUUACAUAAACCGCGUUUUUUGUUUCACAUAAAAAAAAUUGUCUAGGUUUGUUUUUGUUUUUCAAUCACAUUGCAACAUGAUGAUUGGAAAUUAAUGUUAUUGAAAAUACUAUUAUACCCAUUAUUUUAUUUUUUGCUCUAAUUCUUCCCAUGAUGAUAAGUUCUUAAAAAAAAAAAGAAAAAAAAUCUUGAAACACGAAAAACACUUCCAUAUGCAAUAUUAAUAUGUUUACGUAUAUGUAAAUCCUGCUUUUGUUCUCAUGCAAUAUAUUGGGAGAUGCUAACUGGGAGUUUUAAGCCAAAUGUUGUUUAUUUGAUGAUUCUUUCUGAAUUUAGUUGGUCAAAGAUUCAUUCACAGUUUUUUUUUUUUUGCAUUGUAUUUUGAAUGAAAAUUUCUAUAUAAUUAAUUAACUAAUUCUGUAUUCAUA
rnacentral:lncRNA from 1 species